ACAGAGCAUCGUGCUGUGAGCCUGUGAUCUCAGCUACUUGGUAGACUGAGAUGAGAGAUCACUUGAGUGCAGAAAUUCGAGGCUAUAGUGAGCUGUGAUCACACUAUUGCACUCUAGCCUGGGCGAGAGUGAAUCCCUGUCUCCAAAGUAAAUAAAUUAAUUAAAAGUGUGUUUUCAUUUCUUAUCUCAGAGAAUCUUUGUGAAAAUAGCUCUUCUUGCUUCUGUUGUAGCUGGCCCUUCUUUGCCUUCCCCAGAGUUUAGACGGAAGACCAGAAGACCCUGAGUGAAGAAAAAGAUCUUCUUUGUAGUCUCUUUUCAUUCCAUACAAAUAGAUGACUAUAAACACAUUAGACAUUACCAGUCUAUUUGCAGCAGUCGACACAACUUUACCUUAAAUUUUCCUCCCCCAGCAUGCCUCUCCAAAGAAACUUACACAGAAAACCUCACUAACGUUAGAUGUUGCACUGGGC
rnacentral:lncRNA from 10 species